UACGUAGGUGUCAAGCGUUGUCCGGAAUUACUGGGCGUAAAGGGCGCGUAGGCGGUCUUUUAAGUCUUGUGUGAAAUCCCUCGGCUCAACUGAGGAACUGCACGGGAUACUGGAAGACUUGAGUUCGGGAGAGGGAAGCGGAAUUCCGGGUGUAGCGGUGAAAUGCGUAGAUAUCCGGAGGAACACCGGUGGCGAAGGCGGCUUCCUGGACCGAUUACUGACGCUGAGGCGCGAAAGCUAGGGGAGCAAACGGG
rnacentral:rRNA from 1 species